rnacentral:snoRNA from 1 species
CGCACGCUCCUUAGAUCCACCUCUGGGGGGCGCCGCCCCCAGCAGCUUUGCGGCUGCACAGUCGGAGGUGCUUGAGUCAUUGGCGUGCCACAUCAGUCUACCUGUCCUGCAGCCCCACCCGCGGCAACGGCUGCCCCCGCCUCGGUGGGGUGGAUCCCCCGGUGCUGCCAGGCUGUAGGACGGACACA